AUUACGAAUUUGUCAUUCGUAAGCGAAGGUAAUGCAAUAAAAAUUUUGCUGUGCGCGCUACUCAACAACUCGUUCUACUCGUCUCGGUCGCGUCGCGUUGCGUUGCCAUUGCCACUGUCGCACGUUCGUGGCAUGUGUUUCGUUCGUUCGUUUGACUUGCUAGUGUAAGCAAUUUGGUUAUUCGGUUCAUGUUGUGAGUAAUCGUUGUUAGGCACGGUGUUGUAGCAAUGCAUUGAGUAUUGUGUGUGUGUGUUUGCGCGUUGAUAUUGUUGUGCUGUGUUUGCCGUCGCCAAUAGGCGGCAUUUGUCAAGUGAGCGGUGUCGGCAACAGCAACUGACAAAUGUGUCAUAAAUAACGCUCAAAAACACAAAACUUAUAAGUUUAACACACACGCGCAAAAAAAUAACUCAAAUUAAUUUGUGUGCUGUGAAGUGAUAUCGAAAAACAAUAAAUUGAAAUACAAAAAAAAAACUCGUUUAAAGGUUUGCAACGCGCGUCCCCAAAAGUAUAACAAAUUAAAUUAACACCAAAAAGUUGGAAAAUUGUUAAAUAACGGUUAAAAAGAAAAGCAAACAUAGCUACAGUGUUGCAUGUGACAAAGCAUGGAUUCUAACGCCACUGAUGCACAAUCGAUCACAAGUGAACACAGUGUUGCCUCGUCUACCUCCUCCGCGCUGCAUGGCGCCGUAUUAGCGGCUGUUAAGCGCGAACGUUCACCGACACCGGUUUCCAACAGCAAAACAAUGAACACCAUUUCAGUGGCCACCAAUCUUACAAACAAUAAUCAUAAUAGUAAUAACAAUAACAACAGCAAUAAUAAUAACAAUAGUCCACGUCACAACAAGCUGAGUCCCAGUUAUCAUCACAAUAAUAAUAAUAACAACAGCAUACUGUUGGCGCACAGCAUGAAUCCGACAGCGCUGCUAAUGCAUCAUCAGCAACAGCAGCAGCAACAACAACAACAGCAACAUCAACAACAACAACACCAGCACCAGCAGCAGCUGAACGGUUCACGUGAUGGCAAUAGCAGUCGCGGCGGCAGCGGUCCCGGCGGCAGUGGCGCUGGCUCGCUAAGCGGUAGCAUAGGCGACGAUCGUCCCUCUAACGGCCGCCUCUCGCAUACCGGUCGCGGUUCAAGUUGCUCACCGGCCAGUUCACCAACACGCCAUCCCAACGCCGUUAGUCCGGUGACAUCGCUCAAUCAUACGAUGAUGCAACAAAUGCAACAACAACACCAUCAACUUAGUCCACCGCCACAUGUGACGGGCGUGCCUACAUCGAAUGGCCUGCCCGCUGGCUUACCACCACGCAUGCCGCACGGUUUGCCACCACAUUCGCUCGGCUUGCUCAACUCACUGCAAAUGAUGCAUCAUGCCUCGCCGCUGGAGCUGAUGGCGGCCGCACAUCAUCAUGUACCGCCGCGCUCCUACAAUAGUCCGCCACCGAUUUCCACAUCGGAUCCCAGCGCUAACGAAUGCAAACUGGUCGAAUAUCGUGGCCAGAAAGUGGCCGCUUUCAUUAUCAGCGGCGAUACGAUGUUGUGUUUGCCACAAGCUUUCGAAUUAUUCCUCAAACACUUGGUGGGCGGUCUGCAUACGGUCUAUACGAAACUGAAGCGUCUAGAUAUUGUACCGUUAGUGUGCAAUGUAGAGCAAGUGCGUAUAUUACGCGGUCUCGGCGCCAUACAACCGGGUGUUAAUCGGUGUAAGCUGCUCGCCUGCAAGGACUUCGACAUUCUCUACAGGGACUGUACGACUGCCAGAUGCUUAUCGAUCAAGCCACCUGAGAGUAACUCUCUGCAAUUCCGCAGUUCCAGACCGGGUCGACCGCCAAAACGUGGCCCCGUCGGUUUGUCGCUGCCGCCUACACACCUGUCGCAACAUCCGCAGUUAAAGAAACAUCGACUGGAUAAUGGUGACUACGCAUACGAGAAUGGCCAUAUUGCUGAUUUAAAUCGCUUGGAAAAAUCACCACUACUCGCCAAUGGCUAUAAUCCCCCGCCCAUCAAUCAUAUGGCUUUCAUGCAAAUGAAUCACCAUCCCGGUACGGCAUUAAUGUCACCCGGCAUGCCGCCACAUGGCUUACACGCUCGUCCCGACAGUCAAAUGCUGAAAGCCGCCGCUCAAGGCGGUAUGUCCGCGGCGAAUAUGGACGCGUUGGCGCGUUCCGGCAUUUGGGAGAAUUGUCGAGCAGCUUAUGAGGAUAUUGUUAAACAUUUGGAACGCUUACGCGAAGAGCGCACUGAUGAACGCCAGCAAAUGAAUAGCGGCGGCGGCGUUGGCAAUGAGCCGAAGAUACGCGAUUUAAGCUCACGAAAUUCUGGUUCGCCGAAUCGUCAAAGUCCCGUACUGAAUCUAUCCAAAUCCGGCGGCAAUACCGAUCAAGGCAGCAAUUGUGAUGACCGCAGUGAACGCAGCGAAAUGCAUUCGCCAGUACAUUCGGUGCGCGAUGGCAGCGUCGGUGGCGGCAGUCAGGGUGUGAUUGGCGUGGAGGACGACGAUGACGAGAAUCUGAGUGAUGAUAAUGCGUCAGAAGUCGAUGAACGCUGCGCCAAAGAUGAGGAAGACUUAAGUGAUACCGAACGUGAUAAUAUAACGUCGUCGGCGGCGUCACAACGUCAUCAUCCACUGCAUCAUCACCACCAUCAGCUGCAUCAUGGCGCCAACAGCAAUGCCAUGGGCGUGGGCGAACGUGGCAGUGUAGCGGGCGGACCAGGCGCCGGUGUUGGUGUAGGUGUCGGUGUUGGCGGCCUUGGUGUUGCCGCUGCCGCCACUGUCGCUGGUCUCAAUGAACGCGACGUACUUAGCACGCAUGCGGCGCUACAACAAUCACCCGUCUCGACACACAAUGCUGCUGCCGUCGCAGCGUUGCAACAACAUCAUCAGCGUGCGCUCAACUAUUCACAUUUAGCGGCGGCAGCUGCCGUUGCUGGCGGUGCAGCUGGUGGGCCCGGUGCGAAUGCUGCCCUCACCAAUGGACCCGGCUCGGGUGGUGCGCUUGCCGGCACAGAAGCUCUAUUGGCAGCCAAUGAUGCCACGGCCGCGGCCGCUUUGGCCGGUGGGCUAGCGCUCGGUCCACUCGCUAUGGAUCCGCAUGGUGUGCCAUCGUCAACGGAGACGUUGCUGCGGAAUAUACAGAGUUUAUUGAAAGUGGCUGCGGACAAUGCACGACAGCAGGAGCGACAAAUCAGCUAUGAAAAAGCGGAGCUCAAAAUGGAUGUUUUGCGCGAACGCGAAGUCAAAGAUUCAUUAGAUCGGCAAUUAGCUGAUGAAAGGAAACUUAGAGUUUUGUAUCAGAAACGCUACCGUCGCGAGCGUAAAAUGCGCAUACGCUACCAACAGCAGCUGGACGGUGGCAAACGAAAAUUGACACACCCAUCAAAUGCGGGUGGCAGCAGUGUUGGCAGUGGCAAUAAUGUCGGUGCCGUCGGGCCUAAUGGCAAUGAGGAGGGACGCAGUAGUGUGACCGGUGAAUGCAAAAAUAAUAGCGGCGAAGCAGCGACACGUAAAACAGAACCAGCCUCUCCCUGUGCUCUCAAUCUCGCCCCUUAGAUAACGAUUGCAAAUCGAGCGAAAAGUCUGAGAAGUCGUUGAAUUCCAAUGAUGGCUGUUCGCAAUCCCAAAAUGCACAACAACAACAACAACAAUCACAGCAACCGCUGUUACAACAACAUCACCAAUCACAAUCCCAAUCAUUGUCACAUCAUCAUCUACAACAACAACAACCACUUCACUUGAGGCAACGUUCGGAAAGUCCCAGUUUUAAACGUGAACCACACUCGGAUCGUGAUAGUCCGCUCGGUCGUCGUAGUGUCGAUCAUUUGGAGCGUUGCGAUCGUGAUCAUGCCGAACGUGAGUCACGUGAACAUUGCGAACGCUCAGAACGUGAUUGUGGCGACGCGUCUGGCAUUGAGCGUUCACUUAGUAUGCCACCCACUUCACAAGCGGAGAGCAGUUUGGCGGCGGCGGCAGCAGCAGCUGCUGCAGCGGCUGCAGCCAGUGGUGGCAAGGCACCAUGGAACUAUCCGGGCAUAGAUUUAAUGGCCACAGGCGCCUUUUGGCAGAACUAUUCCGAAUCCUUGGCGCAAGAAAUCGAAUUGGAGCGCAAAUCUCGCGCAGCCAAUGCCGAACGUGAUGUGAAGAGUCCAAUAACUGAGCGUCCACCAGCGUACUACAAGAAUUCGAUGCUCUUCGGCGGCGCAAACUAAAGAGUAAACUGAAAUCCUUUAAGCUUGCGUAACAGAGUGAGUAUUCCAAAGGCGAUGUAAGGGAGAAUACAUACAUAAAUACAGGUGUGGGUGAUUUACCGACGGCCACCACUGUUAUUUCGUUCAUUAUACAAAGCAGUGAAAAUCGCAGAAAGCGAGAGUGAAUUAUAAAAAUUGAUAAGGAUGAGAGAAUAUUAGUUAUAUUGCAGUAAUGAUCUCAAAAGGCAAUCACGAAAAUGAUGAAAAUGCAAGCGAGAGUGCAAGUGGAGCAAAAUUAUAACAGCACAAUCUGUUCUAUGAAAGUAGAGAACAAUAACAGUAAAAAGUGACUGCUUUGGAAAUCACGUAACAGUAAUUAGUAUACGAUAGAGAGAGCGCAGGCAGAAAGGCGUAGAAAUCAUAAAAAAUAUAUGUGAAUAAGAAAAAUUAUAGGAAUUUUAAAAAAGCAUUUACGAGUAGAGCAAAUAGCAGUACUUACUAAACUAGUUACCAGUGGAACGUAGGUGAGCGAGUAUUUACGUACAUAUAUAAUAGUGUAUAUAGACAAAAGCCAAUAGGUGGCAACGUUUUUUUAAAUAAGUAUGUAGAUAUUUAUUCGUAAAUUUGCGAAAAUUAAUUUAACAAAUAAAGCUUAGCGAAUUCUUUCUGCGGUUCAUAAAAAUACUUACAUAAGUACUACUUGGAAAUACGAAAGUAAUGAAAAUAUACUAAAAAGUAACUGGUAGCCAUAGAUAUAUAAGUGCUUAUGUAUACAUACAUAUAUACUCGUAUGUAUGUAUAUUACAUAUGUAAUACAUAAAGUAUGUUUAUUUAGACGUUUUUGAAAAGCGUGCUAAAUUAAGAUAAAUGUUCACACACACAUACACACAUAUGUUUGUGCAAUCAUAUGUAUAUUUAAUUAGGUAAUUAGUUUCUUAAGCCAGUAAGUACAGCUGUUUCGCAAUGAAAUAUGUAGUAGGUUAAAUUUUAAAAAUUUUAAAAUUAUUAUAGAAAUUAUGAGUUCGCGUUACAUACAUACAUACUUACGUACACACAUAGCAUAUAUAGCAUAACUGAUGCUUGCAUAAAGGCAGCCAGCGCUGUUUACAAAGCUUCCUUGAAAUUUAAUGGCUUGUAUGUAGAUAUAACUGUUAGUUGCGUAAGCCAGUUAGACAUAGCUGUGUGUAGGCCUAUAGCCUAUAUAUAUAGAUAUAUAUAUAUAUACCAAUAACUAUUGUAAGUAGUUCAGUAAUUGUUUAAAACUUAAAAGCUGCUUCAGAACCAAAAUAUUGUAAAUACGAGUAACUUGAUAAAACUGACACUAUUUGCAUAUAAUUUUUUUCGCGUUAAAUUUAUUAUUACAACUAACUACAAGGCAAGAGAAGGUCGAGUGGGUGGAAAUUGCUAUACAUGCAUAAAAAUAAAUGAUUAUUAAACAUUUGGGAGCACGGAUGGAAAUAAUUAAAUAAAUUUAAAAAUCUGUAUUUGAUUUUAAAUAAUUUUUUUUUGAUUAAUUAAUAUUUAAACAUUUUUUAAUGCAUAAAAAAAUUUAAUAUUUACUAGUUUUAUAUUUUAAUACUAUUUUUUUUUUAAAUUUUUUGUUUAUUUUUUUUAUAUAUAAAUUUUUUUUUAAAUUUUUUAUAAUAAUAUUAUUUAAAUGUUUUUGUUUAGAUUUAAUAAACUUUUUUUUUAAUUUUUUUUAGAUUUUUUUAAAUUUGGUUAAUAAUUUUUUGAUAAUUCCAAAUUUUAAACAUCUGUCAACCGUUGAAAGACACGUCUAGCUCAGUCAUCCUAAAGGAUGAGUACUGUUAUAGUCUACGUAACGGCACUCCAUCUGGCAAUGCUAAGGACCAAAACUGGUCUAUGCGUUGCUCAUGUGCCUACCAGUCUAACCUAACCUAACCUAUUUCUAAAUUUAUUAUGUGUCAUAACCUUUGGUCAUCAGCAUCAAGAGAAAAAGUCCCACGUGAUCUUUAAAAAAAUUAUUAGCCGCAGUUUUUUGCAAAACCGAAUUCAACGACCAAAUCAUUCACCAUAGACAAGAACAGGUAGUAAUCACUUAGUGACGGUGAUUGCUUUCUUCAGAUGAUCUCAAUUCUUGACAGUACGGGUCUCCCGUAGGGAUGCAGUUCAUAGGAGAUAUUUCCUUGCCGAUCGUACCAAACUCAUAGCAAAACCUUUCUAACUAUAAAUCCUAGUUUUACCACGGUUUGCUCCGGGUUAACGCCAUUCGGCUACGACCGCAUCCGCUUGACGUGUUUUUUCACAUAUAUGUUAUACUCUAUCGACUUGAAGGGAGCACAAAAUUGAAAUUACUUCUUGCAUUUGGUUAAAAGUUGCUCAAAAAAUGAUUUGGACCUCAUUUCAAAGUGCUGAGAAUUACAAAAAUUUCACUUAAAUGAAAACAGGAAACAAAGAAAAGGAACAGUAACAAAACUCGAAAGUCUUUUGAUUAUUUUAAAUUUUUUUAAAAUUUUUUACUUCUUCAAAAACAUAUGCCUUUUUAAUUUCCUUUAAUUUCAACAUCAAAUAUUACAUUAGCGGAGGAGUAAUUGCUCUUGAAAUCGAUUUAUAGUAAUGAUAAUUAAUUGCAAGGUAGUUCAAGUAGUUGAUAAAGUAAUCAGAAAAAAAAAAUGAAAAACAAAAUUUAUUUAUUUAUAAUAGUAAAAAGUCUCAAAAUGUUAAAAAAAAAAUUAUGGAAUUUCCAAAAAACUGUAUUGUUUAAAAAUUCUAAAUUAACUGAUUAUAAAAAUAUUAGUUUUUUCAAAGCCAGUGAUUUGCGAAAUUUGUAUAUAAAUAUAUCUGAAAGCAGCUCCCAGUUACGAAACCACAUUUGCUUGCGAAUAAAUUAAUACAUUUACAAAAUAUAGUUUCAAACUGUAUUAAAAAAAAUUAAAAAAUUUAAAAAAAUUAACUAACGAUUGUGUAAGUAACAGUAUUUAAUGAAAAUGAUUCAUAAAUUUAUUAUUAAAAAAAUAUGCAAAUCUUAAAUUAAUUUUAAAAAUUAUAUUUCCAAUAAUAAAUAUUGAAAAAUUAGACACGUUAAGCGCAUUAAAAUAUUUGAGUAAAACAAUGUUAGUUAUUAAUUAAAUUAUAUAUAUAUAUAUAUAUAUAUAGCUAUGUACUUAGUAAGCGUUUAAGUAAAAAAAAAAAUUGAAAAACUAAUAAUUAACAGCAAACUGAUUGCAUUCACAAUAAUUAAAUACAAUUAAAGAUCAUAAAAUAUUGCAUAAAUAGUAACUUCAAAACACAUACACACACACACAAUGCAAACUUGAUACAUUGCAACAAUUAAUAACUAUAAAUAAAUACCUUAAAACAUUCAGUAAAUUACAUAAAUACAUAGCUUACUUACAAACAUACAUAUAUAUACAAUACUAUACAUACAUAUAAACAUACAUAGUUACCCAUUUGAUUGCUUCGCAUUUAAAUGCAAAAUAAAUUAAAAAAAAGAAAACGCAAAUAAAACGAACACAAAAAAUAUUAAACUAUUAUUAAACAAUGCUACAGUAAAAAUAAAUUAUUAUUACUAUUAUU